UACGUAGGGGGCAAGCGUUGUCCGGAUUUAUUGGGCGUAAAGAGCGUGUAGGCGGCCAUGUAGGUCCGGUGUGAAAACUCGAGGCUUAACCUCGAGAUGUCAUCGGAAACCAUUUGGCUAGAGUCCGGAAGAGGAGAGUGGAAUUCCUGGUGUAGCGGUGAAAUGCGCAGAUAUCAGGAAGAACACCAAUGGCGAAAGCAGCUCUCUGGGACGGUACUGACGCUGAGACGCGAAAGCGUGGGGAGCGAGCAGG
rnacentral:rRNA from 1 species